AAGUGGUGGAGGAAGUUAUGGCAGUUCUUCACAUAUUCACAUCAAAUCAGGAUCUGGCAGGAAGUCCUAAGAAUAACAAACCGCUGUAUGACCCCAAACCCUCCACGGUGUUGUGCUGAUCGAGGAAGAGAGCACCAGCUGAAAUUCUCUGCAUGGACCUUCAAGACAGAGAGGAUUGCUUCCUCUCAAAAUUCAAUGCAGCCUUUCACAUUUCUCUCUCUGUCUCUCUCUCUCCACUGCAGCAGAAUGCCCCGUGGCCCCUACUUCCUAUUCCUUCCAUUCUUCAAAGCUUUUUCUUUGCAGGAGCUACUCUUGCUUGAGUUUAGUGGCUGGCACUUAGCUUCUGAUGUUGAUGAGGGUUGUCUAAUAAAGUUCUAUUGGUGCUUGAUGCAAUCAGAAAA